rnacentral:rRNA from 1 species
UACGUAGGGUGCAAGCGUUGUCCGGAAUUAUUGGGCGUAAAGAGCUCGUAGGCGGUUUGUCGCGUCUGCUGUGAAAACUCGGGGCUUAACCCCGGGCCUGCAGUGGGUACGGGCAGACUAGAGUGCGGUAGGGGAGACUGGAAUUCCUGGUGUAGCGGUGAAAUGCGCAGAUAUCAGGAGGAACACCGGGGGCGAAGGCGGGGCUCUGGGCCGUAACUGACGCUGAGGAGCGAAAGCGUGGGGAGCGAACAGG